rnacentral:rRNA from 1 species
GAUGAACGCUGGCGGCGUGCCUAAUACAUGCAAGUCGAGCGAACAGAUGAGGAGCUUGCUCCUCUGACGUUAGCGGCGGACGGGUGAGUAACACGUGGAUAACCUACCUAUAAGACUGGGAUAACUUCGGGAAACCGGAGCUAAUACCGGAUAAUAUAUUGAACCGCAUGGUUCAAUAGUGAAAGACGGUUUUGCUGUCACUUAUAGAUGGAUCCGCGCCGCAUUAGCUAGUUGGUAAGGUAACGGCUUACCAAGGCAACGAUGCGUAGCCGACCUGAGAGGUGGAUCGGCCACACUGGAACUGAGACACGGUCCAGACUCCUACGGGAGGCAGCAGUAGGGAAUCUUCCGCAAUGGGCGAAAGCCUGACGGAGCAACGCCGCGUGAGUGAUGAAGGUCUUCGGAUCGUAAAACUCUGUUAUUAGGGAAGAACAAAUGUGUAAGUAACUAUGCACGUCUUGACGGUACCUAAUCAGAAAGCCACGGCUAACUACGUG